rnacentral:lncRNA from 1 species
UGUUUAUUAAUUAGGUCUUUCCACUUUUCCGUGGAAAGACCUAUUGCUUUUCUUCUGAUUAUUAUUUUUUUUUUUUUUUCUUCCGCCUAAUUUUUUUCCUUCGCUGUUUUUUUGUUUUGCAAGAUGUCGCUUAGAAAUUUGGAAUAUGAUAUCGAACAGUUUAUACGCUUUUGAAAACAACUCUGCUAAACCAAAUACUUUACCAUAUAAGAGUUAUCUCCCGAACACUGUUUUUCUUGUUAUCUCUAAGGCUUCGCAACCGUAUAAGAAACCGACAAAUUUAUUUUUCCAAAUUGCUCGUUACAUCCUCAGAAUGUUCUGUUUUAUUUUGACCAAAGCCGUAUAUAGAUUCCAUAUGAGAGUUUUCCCCCCUUUUAUGUUUGAUAUUAGAAUAUGCAUUUCUAACUGGUAAACCAUAAGUGAUAGAGGCCUAGGGUCUUUUGAUUUGAGGUCCUUGGUUCAAAAAAAAUGAAAAUUAGGUCAAGGUCAAAGGUCAAGGUCAUGUUCAAAAUUUUGAAUUUGGCUUGUUAUCUCUCAUUUUUAGAAAUCUUAUAAGAUAUCGACAAAAUAUUUACACACAAUUGUUAGUCGCGACAUGUAGUUACACAUAAAUUUUAGUCGAAAGGAUAAGUAGAUGUUUGAUGCGAGUUUUCCCCCCUUUUAUAUCUAAUAUCGGUUGUAUGGUAAUAUAACUCAUAAACAAUAUAAAGUAAAUACCUAGAGUCUUUUGAUUUGAGGUCCUUGGUUUAUGACCUUGAAAUUGAGCUCAAGGUCAUUUGUUAAUUUAACGUUCUAGAUUUUGACCUUUGCUUUUACCUCAUAUGUAUUCAUGUUAAAGCUAUCAGACUUUUUGCAUUAGGUUGCAAGCAAUAUGACGUUGAAAAAGCUAACCGGAAGUGACCUUUUGUAAACCGGAAGUAGCUAAUUUUUGUAAUAAAUUGUUGUAAAAGUAUGUAAAACCAUAUAUUUUUGGAAUCAGCGUCAAGUAAACUAUAAGACAAUACCGGUAGUAACAUAUUUUGAACCGGAAAUAGAAAAUUAUCUCCCUUAUUUAUAUCUUCUUGUGUAGAAACCUUAUAUUUUUUGAAUCAGCGUACAAUAAGUUUUCAUUUGACGUUGAAAUUGAC